GUUUAAACCGAAAAUAAUAUUAUAUGACACUUAUGACCAAAGAUAUUAUUUCAUAAUUUUUUUAUUUCACAGCCAUCAUUUUUUUCUAAACAUUGCUGAAACAAAGAUUUAGGUAUGGGAAAGAGGAUAAGCAGACUAACUUCACGUAAAUUGGAAACAACGGAAUCUACUCCAAUUUUAAAGGAACAGUUUACAAAAAUAGAAGAUCAAGAUGAAGAUUUUGAGUCUUCAAAGGUUUCAUGUUUUCCAUGUC